AUUUUUGGACUUUUUCUGAUUCACUGUAACCCUAACAUUUCAGUAGUGUCUAGUUUUCUAUCACAAACUUUCCAUCUUGGCAUAGUGAUGAAAUUGUUAAUGUAACCAAUCAGUUUCUGUAUGUGGCUUGUAUUUUUACUUUUAUGUAUAAUGUAACAUAGUGUUUCUGACCUAACUAGUACUGUCAUGUCAUUCUGAGUCUUUGAUAGCUUGAGAGUUGGUACUCACUGAAUCAAUGAAUGACCAAAGACCGUGGUACAUGGUCACUGAAUGCCUGAUGUAAAAUUCUCAUUCAUUUCUGAGCUAUCUUGUGUAAUGCUAUAGACAGAUACACAGUUACAGUGGCAGUGCAGUCUUCUGUAAGAAUUGUGUAUAAAUAUGACCUGUAAUACUCAAAAAGGAAGAAUGAUUAUAUGUAGUUAUGCCACAUCUAAUCUUGGGAGGUCAUUAGCCUAAAGAUAAUUUAGGCUAAACCAUUUUAAAAUGAUUUAGCUGCAAGCUUAAGCUGUCAGUGUGUGCUGUUGGCUUUUGCUUGCUUCUGAGCCAUCCUGCUUGAAUCACCAAGUGAUCUUAGCAAAGCCAAACGAGUAAAGAAGGCAUGAGGACCUAUAAAGGAGGUCAGAGGAAAAAAACAAACAAACAGAAUACCCCCAAAAUCCCAACCACGGUGCCCAAGAUAAGGGUCUUAGCAAUUGAAGAAAGGUUUUUCUGUUGAGUGCCUUUGCUAUGUCGUAGAGUUGUGCUUACUGUUGCUUAGCUAUGCAGCUUCAUCCUCCAAAUUAUGUCAUGGGCAAUGCAGUACUUCAGUGGACUUUCCACCUCACUGGACAGCUAUAGUCACUGCUUAUCGAGCCUGAGUGUAGUCCACUGUGUCAUGAAUAACCUUGGCAUUAGGUUUAAAUCUUAUGCCAAGAAAGAUUACCAAAGACAGCUGAGGCGAAUAAUUUAUUGUAAGUGGAUGGCUUCUGUGUAUUUUACCGGCAUGGACAGUGCAGACAAGUCUGUCCAAGCUCCAGCUCAAGUGGAAGUCUUGUCUCCUAUUUGUACACAUAUUGGUAAACUCAGUCUGAAAUCAAGUGUGGCUAAAUGUGUUUUGGCAUAAGCAGUAGUUGCUCUGGAAAAACUUUGGUGCUAUCUCUGGACAGAAGAUCUUGAGUUUUAGCUGGAAAAUCAGUUGCUACUUCUCUUUUUCAUUGACUCUGUUCUCCUCUAAGCUUGACUGGAGAGAAACUGACUCCUGAAAUACCAUAAUGCCUUUUUGAAGACAAGCUUUUAGAAGUGAUAACGAUUCUUCCAAGGCUGCUCUUGGGAGAUCUUGCUUUGGCAAGAACAGAUACUUUGUCCAGAUCUACAUCACAGAGCAACAGAGGUCUCAUAGCCUUUUCUGUUAAACACUGGAGAAUAGUGGAGUCUGGAAACAUGCUUUAGACCUGAAUGUUCAUUC